UACGGAGGAUGCAAGCGUUAUCCGGAAUGAUUGGGCGUAAAGCGUCCGCAGGUGGCUGUGUAAGUCUGCUGUCAAAGAGCGAAGCUCAACUUCGUAAAGGCAGUGGAAACUACACGGCUAGAGUGCGUUCGGGGCAGAGGGAAUUCCUGGUGUAGCGGUGAAAUGCGUAGAGAUCGACAGGAACGCCGGUGGCGAAAGCGGGCCGCUGGCCCUCUUCUGACGCUGAUGCGCGAAAGCCAGGGGAGCGAACGGG
rnacentral:rRNA from 1 species